AAACUUGAGAGUUUGAUCAUGGCUCAGAACGUACGCUGGCGGCACGCCUAACACAUGCAAGUCGAACGAAGUAGCAAUACUUAGUGGCAGACGGGUGAGUAACAUGUAGGUAUCUGCCCUUUGGCCUGGAAUAACACGAGGAAACUUGUGCUAAUACCGGAUAAGUCUUUACGGAGAAAGCUUUAUGCACCAUUGGAUGAGCCUGCACUUGAUUAGUUUGUUGGUAGGGUAAUGGCCUACCAAGACUGUGAUCAAUAGCUGAUUUGAGAGGAUGAUCAGCCACAUUGGGACUGAGACACGGCCCAAACUCCUACGGGAGGCAGCAGUGGGGAAUCUUGCACAAUGGAGGAAACUCUGAUGCAGCGAUGCCGCGUGAGUGAAGAAGGCCUUUGGGUUGUAAAGCUCUUUCGUCGGGGAAGAAAAUGACUGUACCCGAAUAAGAAGGUCCGGCUAACUUCGUGCCAGCAGCCGCGGUAAUACGAAGGGACCUAGCGUAGUUCGGAAUUACUGGGCUUAAAGAGUUCGUAGGUGGUUGAAAAAGUUGGUGGUGAAAUCCCAGAGCUUAACUCUGGAACUGCCAUCAAAACUUUUCAGCUAGAGUUUGAUAGAGGAAAGCAGAAUUUCUAGUGUAGAGGUGAAAUUCGUAGAUAUUAGAAAGAAUACCAAUUGCGAAGGCAGCUUUCUGGAUCAUUACUGACACUGAGGAACGAAAGCAUGGGUAGCGAAGAGGAUUAGAUACCCUCGUAGUCCAUGCCGUAAACGAUGUGUGUUAGACGUUGGAAAUUUAUUUUCAGUGUCGCAGCGAAAGCGAUAAACACACCGCCUGGGGAGUACGACCGCAAGGUUAAAACUCAAAUGAAUUGACGGGGACCCGCACAAGUAGUGGAGCAUGUGGUUUAAUUCGAAGAUACGCGCAGAACCUUACCAACACUUGACAUGUUCGUCGCGACUCUAAGAGAUUAGAGUUUUCGGUUCGGCCGGACGAAACACAGGUGCUGCAUGGCUGUCGUCAGCUCGUGUCGUGAGAUGUUGGGUUAAGUCCCGCAACGAGCGCAACCCUCACUUUUAGUUGCCAUCAUUAAGUUGGGCACUCUGAAAGAACUGCCAGUGAUAAGCUGGAGGAAGGUGGGGAUGACGUCAAGUCCUCAUGGCCCUUACGUGUUGGGCUACACACGUGCUACAAUGGUAUCUACAACAGGAAGCAAGACUGCGAAGUUAAGCAAAUCCCUAAAAGAUACCUCAGUUCGGAUUGCACUCUGCAACUCGAGUGCAUGAAGCUGGAAUUACUAGUAAUCGUGGAUCAGCGUGCCACGGUGAAUGCGUUCCCGGGUCUUGUACACACCGCCCGUCACACCAUGGGAGUUGGUUCUACCUUAAGGCAAGGUUUUAAACCCUUGACCACGGUAUAGUCAGCGACUGGGGUGAAGUCGUAACAAGGUAGCCGUAGGGGAACCUGCGGCUGGAUUACCUCCUUU
rnacentral:rRNA from 1 species